GGGGCCUCUGAGGCUAUCCACGCAUGCCGCGCGUCGUGGGAGGGCUGGGCGAGUGCUUUGCUUCGUUUCAUGAUUGGGCCACACGUCGGCGCGUCGUUGGUUCAGCUUGAGGGAGAAAAAAAAUUUCGUAAUGGGAGGGGAAAAAGCGUUCGCAAGCCAGGGCUGGAAACCCUAUCCAGCCUCGUCCUCAUCGUGACCUGCUCCUCCCAUCCGCUUCGCCGCCGCACCCCCACCCCCCCGCCUCCGUCGUCCUUCCCCGCUGCUGCUCUCCCAGCUCGACCGCAUCACCUAUUCCCCUCCGGCCAUGACGAGCUCUGCCCUCUCCGUCGCGAGCGGCGGCGGUGCAUCUCAGCGGAGGUUCCAGGAAGACGCAGGUCUGAGCUCUCCUCUUCUCCGCCGAUCUGUGCCGCUGUUUUCAGCCGCCGUAGGCGCCUCCAGUCCCCGUCGCAGCCGCCUCUGAUUCCCACCUCAGCCACCUCUGAUUAGCCCAGGUGGGCGAGGCCAUGGCGACAGAGAAGGACGCCGCCGUACGAAUUGACGACGAGGCAAAACCCUAGGACGUGAACACGUGCGAGUUCAAUAGGAGGCGCACAACUCUGGUCCAAGCUGCAACGUCCUUGCUGCUGCAUCAGCCAUUUGCCGGCGGUACUGCGUGUAUUCGCAACCGCAGGUCACCUCUCCAGCCAUCUGCAAGGUAAAGAUAGUCAUGAACAUGUCCAGAUUGUUAACUCGGUUACCCCCCAUUUGGCAUCUGGGGGCAGAGGCAUGUCUGACAAUUCAAACAAUAAGUUUAUGCUAGCCUGUUGCUAUCUCCUACACUAUGGAGGAAGUACUAUUGAACAUUGGGAGUCUGAGAGUGCGCUGCAUAUUAUUUGGUGUGAAAAAGAAUAGAGUGAAGAAUUGAAGAGGAUCAUGCAAUCAGUCAGCACUCAUCAAUGAAAAAAGGAGACAGGAGACAGUAGGGCACUAUUUUUGUGGAUUUGUCCAUAUAUUAUAGAGGAUGGUGCACUACUGAAUACAAUCAGCGGCUAUCUCCUGUUGGAUUUCUUCUCAUCCGACAUAUGAGGUCCAUUUUAUGGAUCGGUUCUCUGUGUGGCAGUAAUUCAAGGCCAAAUAUGUAUCAUGUUUCUUCAAU